UGACUCUAUGCAAAGCGCCCACGAUGCGCGUGCUGCUGUGAGCACAUGGAGGAGAGAGGACGUUCACUUAGCAGCCUGGCUAAUGUAGCCCGUGGCUCGCAAAAUAUUACGAAAUUAGCAACAUUUUUCACCUGGAAAGUGAGCUGACUCGCCCAAGGCGUCCAAAAAUGAUGAAAGAUACUCAUAACCACUUCAGGGAGAGUAAAAGAUAAGGAGAAAGAAAAACAUUGAAGAUGUGAGUUGUCCCACAAUGAGACUCGAUCUUCAAAAUGGAGCUUGUUGUUUCCUGAGUCUGAGACACAACUGAGUGGUGGAUGGCUUGAGCUCCGUUGAAAGAUUAAAAACAGGAAAUGCUCCCCACCCAGAUAUGAAGAGUAAGGAGAGGCAGAGAUAGUGAAGAGGUUGUGUAUCAGAUAACCGUACCCUCUGUUGGUGGACUCAAAUUGGACUGAAUUCCUCAGUAAAGUGGUCUCUCAUCUCUAUCAUGGGACGUGUUGUACUUCGUGGUUACUGGGUGGUCCUGUCACAGAGGGCAGCAGGCCAGGCACACGUGUACCAGUGCUCUAAAGAAGGCCAGUUCAGUGGAAACUAGCAAGCAAACACUCCAAAAAGGACACGCGCUCCCUCAAUGUCAGCAAAUAUUUGGUCACAACUUCAAAGAGCAGUGACAGUCAUUUGAAACUGCGGAUCGGACUCAUGUUUGUCACUGUAAGAGCAGGUGGAAUGUUUCAUUUUUCUUGCUUUAUUUUUGUAGGCCACGUGGCAACAUGUUUUAGAGGCAGUCUGUGAUGUAACAGCACUGCUGUCACCUGCAUGUCCAGCUGUGCUGGUGGCUCAGAGAAGUGGACUAAUGAGGGUCCUAAGGUGAAUCUGAUGGAUUGAAUGAAGUGUAAUUAGAAAGAUGGAUUGUCACUCAAGUGUGACAGCCAGCUCAUUCUGUACCUGAAGUGUUCAGAAAUCUGCCUACUAGUCUGUUAGGACUCUAUGGACAAAAAAUGUAAUAUCAUUAACAAAGGGUAAAAUAUAGAGGUCUACAACUUGUUCCCUUUAAGGGUUUGGAUUAUGAAGAACAUCACACCAAGUAUGUUUAUCUGAGGGUAGUCGGGCAGUUUAUACAAGUGUGUAUUAUUUGUCUGUCUUUCUGUAUGAUAUAUUCUGACUCUUUGACUUUUGAAUGAAAUUUUACCCCAAAACUCCUGUACGCAGAUGCAUUGCAAUGCAUAAUUUGUUCUGAGACAAAAGAGGUAAAGCACACAGCAUAUAAUUAUAUCUCACAAUGUCAGUGUCUAGUAAUCUCAUGAGUAUUUGUAUUCACAUCAAAUAUGGUUCUACCAAAUAUAUAUAUUUACUGUACUUAUUAAAAAAGUCUUAAUACAUUGACACAAACAGCACAAUAUUGUGAUACUGACUAUCUAAAAUGAAUUGUUUUUGUAUGACCAUGUCCAUAAACUAAUAAAAAAAUCUUGAUUAUGUAGUGUAAUGUAAUUUGAUUAACCAUUAUUCAUUUAAUUAUACUUUAGUUCACCAUGGAACACACAAUAGGCUUGUUAAGUCAAACUGUGACACCAAAACUGCCAAAUAAAAACACAAAAGCAAUCAAA